UUCGGGUGGGAGUGGCAGACGGGUGAGUAACACGGGGAACGUACCCUUUGGUUCGGGACAACUCUGGGAAACUGGAGCUAAUACCGGAUACGCCCUUUUGGGGAAAGGUUUACUGCCGAAGGAUCGGCCCGCGUCUGAUUAGCUAGUUGGUGGGGUAACGGCCUACCAAGGCGACGAUCAGUAGCUGGUCUGAGAGGAUGAUCAGCCACACUGGGACUGAGACACGGCCCAGACUCCUACGGGAGGCAGCAGUGGGGAAUAUUGGACAAUGGGCGCAAGCCUGAUCAGCCAUGCCGCGUGAGUGAUGAAGGCCUUAGGGUUGUAAAGCUCUUUUAUCCGGGACGAUAAUGACGGUACCGAAGGAAUAAGCCCCGGCUAACUUCGUGCCAGCAGCCGCGGUAAUACGAAGGGGGCUAGCGUUGCUCGGAAUCACUGGGCGUAAAGGGCGCGUAGGCGGCGUUUUAAGUCGGGGGUGAAAGCCUGUGGCUCAACCACAGAAUGGCCUUCGAUACUGGGGCGCUUGAGUCUGGUAGAGGUUGGUGGAACUGCGAGUGUAGAGGUGAAAUUCGUA
rnacentral:rRNA from 1 species